GGUUACUGCUAUCGGUGUUCGCCUAAGCCAUGCGAGUCAUAUGUAGCAAUACAUGGCGUACUGCUCAGUAACACGUGGAUAACCUGCCCUUGGGUCCGGCAUAACCCCGGGAAACUGGGGAUAAUUCCGGAUAACGCAUAUAUGCUGGAACGCUUUCUGCGUAAAAUGGAUUCGUCUGCCCAAGGAUGGGUCUGCGGCCUAUCAGGUAGUAGUGGGUGUAAUGUACCUACUAGCCUACGACGGGUACGGGUUGUGAGAGCAAGAGCCCGGAGAUGGAUUCUGAGACAUGAAUCCAGGCCCUACGGGGCGCAGCAGGCGCGAAAACUUUACAAUGCGGGAAACCGUGAUAAGGGGACACCGAGUGCCAGCAUCCUAUGCUGGCUGUCCGGGUGUGUAAAAUACACCUGUCAGCAAGGGCCGGGCAAGACCGGUGCCAGCCGCCGCGGUAACACCGGCGGCCCGAGUGGUGAUCGUGAUUAUUGGGUCUAAAGGGUCCGUAGCCGGUUUGGUCAGUCCUCCGGGAAAUCUGACAGCUCAACUGUUAGGCUUUCGGAGGAUACUGCCAGACUUGGAACCGGGAGAGGUAAGAGGUACUACAGGGGUAGGAGUGAAAUCUUGUAAUCCCUGUGGGACCACCUGUGGCGAAGGCGUCUUACCAGAACGGGUUCGACGGUGAGGGACGAAAGCUGGGGGCACGAACCGGAUUAGAUACCCGGGUAGUCCCAGCCGUAAACGAUGCUCGCUAGGUGUCAGGCAUGGCGCGACCGUGUCUGGUGCCGCAGGGAAGCCGUGAAGCGAGCCACCUGGGAAGUACGGCCGCAAGGCUGAAACUUAA
rnacentral:rRNA from 1 species